rnacentral:misc_RNA from 1 species
AAUUCUCAACCCCUCCAGUUUUCUGUGAUGGGGCUUGGAUAUGGAGGCUUGCUGGCCUGUUAAAGGUCAGCUACUCUGAAAUGCAUUAGCGGAACCGUUUGCGAUCCGUCACAGGUGUGAUAAUUAUCUACGCCGUGUGGUCGCUCUCUGUCUGUUCAGCUGCCAAUCGUCCAGUCUUCAUGGACAAUUAUAUUGAAA